AUAAAAACCACACACAAGAUGAUGGGUUUCAAAAUAAACUUUUUAUUCAUACUUAUUGUUCUUAAUAUAUUUAGCAUGGAAUACUUAUGUCAAGCAAAGAAAGAAAAACGUGAACUGCCUAAAUUGUGUGGUCUUAAUUUUGACAUUGGUUCUUGCUGCGGGCAGAAGAUGAAAAUGAAAAAAGAAGUUCAAUGGAAAUUUUAUUAUGUGCCAUCUAAGAAAGAUUGUCAUAUUUUCAAGUACUACGGCUGCGGAGGAAAUAAUAAUAGUUUUACAAAUUAUAAAGAUUGCAUAGAAACAUGCAAAUAAUAGUACUCUAUAUAUCUUAACAGUGAAGAGUAUUUUAAAUCUAUUCGAGAAUAUAAAAUUCUUUAAAACAUAACAUUAUUAAAGUUUUCCUAUAUAUUGAUAUGUAUUUGUCAUAGUUGGAUAUUGAGUUUAAAUUAAAGUACUAAAUGGAAGAUCUUGUAAAGUUUUUAUAAUAUACUUUUAAAAGUAUUUUUUUUUUGCAAUAAUUGACUGUAAUAAAAUGAAUUUUGCGAAUAUGUAUAUGAAAUAUGUAAAAAUAUAUAUGUAAAUAAAGGAUUAAACUAC